AUCGUCCUGGCAAAGAUGGUUACCACGACAGAAUCCAAAUCUGUCUCGGGGAUUGCUCCGUGCAGGUUCGAAACCUGCCGAUGACA